rnacentral:rRNA from 1 species
UACGGAGGAUGCAAGCGUUAUCCGGAAUCAUUGGGCGUAAAGCGUUCGUAGGUGGCUGUGCAAGUCUGCCGUUAAAGACAGUGGCUUAACCACUGAAAGGCGGUGGAACUGCGCAGCUAGAGUGCGGUAGGGGUAGAGGGAAUUCCCGGUGUAGCGGUGAAAUGCGUAGAGAUCGGGAAGAACACCAGUGGCGAAAGCGCUCUACUGGGCCGUGCACUGACACUGAGGGACGAAAGCUAGGGGAGCGAAUGGG